rnacentral:rRNA from 1 species
AUUGAACGCUGGCGGCAGGCCUAACACAUGCAAGUCGAACGAGUGGCGGACGGGUGAGUAAUGUCUGGGAACCUGCCUGAUGGAGGGGGAUAACUACUGGAAACGGUAGCUAAUACCGCAUACCAUCGGAUGUGCCCAGAUGGGCUUAGCUAGUAUGUGGGGUAAAGGCUCACCUAGGCGACGAUCCCUAGCUGGUGGGAGAGGAUGACCAGCCACACUGGAACGGAUACACGGUCCAGACUCCUACGGGAGGGAGCAGUGGGGAAUAGUGCACAAGGGGCGCAAGCCUGAUGCAGCCAUGCCGCGUGUAUGAAGAAGGCCUUCGGGUUGUAAAGUACUUUCAGCGGGGAGGCGUUACCCGCAGAAGAAGCACCGGCUAACUCCGUGCCAGCAGCCGAGGUAAUUC